UAACAAGAUUCUCGGGAAAAUGUCGGGAUAUUUCUUAAAGGUGUACAAAAUACCCCUACACCGUGUCUGCAGCAUUCUCUCGCGCAAACUUCCGAGAGGUGGUACAAAAAAGUGAUCUUCGAUCAAUUAGUACCUGAUGUAUAAAUUAUAUUUUACUGUCAACUCAGCUUUGAAAUUUAUUUUGUCAGAAAAUAUUCGCUAAAAUAGAUUUUCUUUUUGUAAAAAAAAAAAAAAACGUAAAUUCACAUGAAUCACAAAUUAUUUUCAAGAAUAAACAAACCGAAUUUUCUUGGUGUGGCACGAAAUAACUUUACACCGUCCUGUAUCAUCCUCUCGCGAGACUUCAUCGAGAAGCGCAAAAUAGGAGUUCAAGGAGCGGCAAUGUUUAGAGAGACUGGUGAAAUGCAAUGAAAUGCACAACUUACGCCCAUGAUUGACUCUAAUUCUUCACAUAAACCAUGUUCUCUCUCCCAAAAAUCUUGGUUUCGCUAGGAGUGCAGUAAAGGGAAUGUUGGAAGAAGUGUAGAUAUCAUGGCCACAGACCAGUGGGGUAAGUGGCGAGUGGUUCCUUGUAAUAUGUAUUUAAACACACAAAUAUUGUUGAAUAAUUUAGUGCAUGUGAUGUGUUGUAUAAUAUUUCAAUACUGAAACAGAAGAAACGAUUUGAAUAUGUGUAAAAGGUUUUUGUGCAUACUGUGAUUCAGUCUAGUCCAUGAAGAUCAAACGUAGAUACACAGUGAAAUAUUUCCAGGUUUUGCAUGUUUAAAUUUAGUAAGCAGAAGACUUAUAAACAAAUAUUUAUUAUCAGUUACUGUUAAAUUUGCAUUGAAUGUUUUGACAUGGUGUAAAUUUUGGAAUUAUACUCUUAAAUAAAGCCUUCAUUGCAUUGUUAUCUUCUAGCUUAAACCUUGAAGCCUGGCAAGGAUUAUGAGACUGGAAACUCCCAUUGAGACUACCAAAUGAAGAGAAAGUUUCAGACUGUUUAACUCGGACUAAGGGAAAAGAAGCAAAUUACAACAAGGAGGAUAUUGCCGAGAAAGCAAAGACAAGUGAAAAGUCGAGUGAAGAAAAAGCAAACAAGGCUUCACGAUCUGCAACUAGGCCACUGGCGAUGAAGAAGAAAAAUGUACAGCUAAAGAAGAUACAUCAGUGAUCAACUAAAGCUGGGCGACUUAUAUUGGAUUGACGAGGUGCAGGGGGUAUAUUAAUUUGGGUCUGUUUAUCUUUGUCAAUCUGUCUGUCUGUAACACUUUGUUCUCUUAACAUUUCCAAAAAGCCAUCAGAUAUUGCAAUGACGUUUUAUAUUAUAACUCAUUUUGACGAUCCCACUGCAGAACAUGAUGAAUCAUCAAUACAAAUUUAAUAUUGUUUAUAAAUUAAAUAUUACCCUUAUAUAUUUUGAAGUGAAAUGGUCAGGGGGGAUAAAUAAAAAUAAAAAUAAAAUAGUAUUGCAUUAUACCAAUUAUUGUGAAAGUUGAGAAAAUAUAUUUAUUGUGGUAAAUUACUACAUUGACAUUGAAAUGUAACUAUUAAUUCCAAUUUGGUGUAUACAAUAGCAGUUACUGUAUUAUUGUAAUUGUUUAUUACAUACUUCAGUUUACAUCUACGAUAAAGAUAUUAAAUUGUGAAAAAGUUAAUUUGUUACAACUACUGUAAAUAUUUGUACAUUUUUAGCAUAUUUCUCUAU